CAAUAAACACAGCUGUGCACAUAUGACUGUGAUGUGUUGACUUGGAGUCCUUCAGAGUAGUAUAGCUUGGUCAUGUAGUAGCUUUAUUUUCAGGUUUUGUUUUGUUUUGUUUCAUUUCCAUAGGGGUUGCCUAGUUUGCUCUCCUACUAGUGGAGUGAAUAAUGGUUCCUUUCUCCCAUAUCCUCACUGGCAUUUGCCACUUGGUUUCCUGAUGAUAGCCAUUCUGCCUGAGCAACUCCCAAAUUGCCCACAAGAAAGCGACUUGCCGUGUAAAAGGAAAUCACUACAUGGAAUGAUGUAGUUUCAGUGUGUACUCUAGGAAGGAUGAAUCUUCAUUGGUCUGAAAGCCUCCUGUAGCACCUUACACACUGAAUGAAUACAAGAGCAGUCCAUCCCUCAGUUGAAGACUGGGCCAAGAAAAUUUGGCCCUGGUGGGGAUUUAUAUUAACUACUCAUCUUACUGUCUUUGACAGAAUAUCCACAAAAGCAGCUUCAGAGAUAAAUUCCCUGCUAAGUCUUAGUUCCUCAUGGAUCGCUGACUGUCUCACUUGGUUUGGGUGUAAACCAAAGGACAUGAUUUUUAGCCUGUGCUGAAAUUUGUGCCUACACCAAAAGAAGUAAUCGAUACAUGUUAGUCAUUGUCAUUCGUUCUCUAUGGUACACCUCAAAGAGAUUUACCAAACUCCUUCACAAGAAGACCCUGAACAGUGAAGCUCCAUGGGCUGUUGAAGAAAUGACGCUAAUUACCUCAUUUAAAUUUCAUCAAAGCUAUACAGAGUUAAAAUACUGUGAUCCUCUUCCAUUUUAAAGAUAAAGAAACUGGUCAAAUUGAAGACAAAUACUCAAUGACCAGCUCUCCAGGAAAGAAAAAAAAAAGUCUAGGUUGUGCUAUGUUCUGUGGUAUAUAUGGCCACAGUAGUUCAGCACAAGCUGCUGAUACGGUGUUCCCGUUCCCAGAUGGUAUGCUGGGAAGAGCUGGGCUCAGUAGUCUCUCUGGACACACACAGUCCCAACAGACUGAGCAUAGUGGGAAAUAAAUCACCAACUCUGAGCAACCCCCUGCACUUCUAGACAGUAUGCCCCUGACUAGGCCCCCAGCUCUCAGCUCCACUCUAUAAUGCAAAAAGUGCUUCACAUAAAAAACACCAAACUCAGAGACUGGGAACAUGGCUCAGCAGUGAAGAAUAUGUACACCAUACUGCUCUUGCAAAGGGUGAGAGUUCAGUUCUGACCACCCUCUUCAGGAAGUCCACAACCACCUGUAACUCCAGCCAUAGGGGAUCCAGUACCUUUCGCAGGCCUCCUGGGGCACCAAACUCAUGCAUGAACUCACUCACAGACAGCUAGUAUGUGUAACUAAAGCACAUGAAUAAAAGCUAAGAACAACAAAACAAGCCCCCAAACUCAGCAGCUAAGUUCCAGUGUCAAAGCUUGACCAGAAGUCUGCAUGGAGUUUUAACUCUGUAUCCAUGCUGGUUUUGUCAGGAGAAGAACAAUUGCUUUAUUUCCAAGACUUGCAAUCUACUCUGUGCUGCAGCUAACAGAGUAAUUCAUCUGCAAACUACAAUAAUCAUAAUGUUACAAAUCAGACAUCCUUCAUUUGUAAAUUUAAUCAGGUCUUCAACAAUGUGUAGCUUUCCUGGUUAGUUAGCGAACUUUAAAAUGUUCCAAUUGCUACGUGCUGAAAAUAUAUACUCUGUAUUAUCUUUUAUUGAGUGUUUUGUGCAAAUCAGGC
ensembl:lncRNA